rnacentral:rRNA from 1 species
GACGUAGGGAGCGAGCGUUAAUCGGAAUUACUGGGCGUAAAGCGUGCGCAGGCGGUUUUGUAAGAAAGGUGUGAAAUGCCACGGCUUAACCUGGGAACUGCACUUGUGACUGCAAGGCUGGAGUACGGCAGAGGGGGAUGGAAUUCCGCGUGUAGCAGUGAAAUGCGUAGAUAUGCGGAGGAACACCGAUGGUGAAGGCAGUCUCCUGGGCCUGUCCUGACGCUCAUGCACGAAAGCGUGGGGAGCAAACAGG